GGGUUGUGAGGUUAAGCGACUAAGCGUACACGGUGGAUGCCCUGGCAGUCAGAGGCGAUGAAGGACGUGCUAAUCUGCGAUAAGCGCCGGUAAGGUGAUAUGAACCGUUAUAACCGGCGAUUUCCGAAUGGGGAAACCCAGUGUGACUCGUCACACUAUCAUUAACUGAAUCCAUAGGUUAAUGAGGCGAACCGGGGGAACUGAAACAUCUAAGUACCCCGAGGAAAAGAAAUCAACCGAGAUUCCCCCAGUAGCGGCGAGCGAACGGGGAGGAGCCCAGAGCCUGAAUCAGCAUGUGUGUUAGUGGAAGCGUCUGGAAAGGCGCGCGAUACAGGGUGACAGCCCCGUACACAAAAGCGCAUGUGCUGUGAGCUCGAUGAGUAGGGCGGGACACGUGGUAUCCUGUCUGAAUAUGGGGGGACCAUCCUCCAAGGCUAAAUACUCCUGACUGACCGAUAGUGAACCAGUACCGUGAGGGAAAGGCGAAAAGAACCCCGGCGAGGGGAGUGAAAAAGAACCUGAAACCGUGUACGUACAAGCAGUGGGAGCACCCUUUGGGGUGUGACUGCGUACCUUUUGUAU
rnacentral:rRNA from 2 species